UCUGUGAUCCCAUGUUGUACUUCUUAGUUUAAUAUAGUUAUUUUAUAAUCACUAAUAACGCCAAUAUUUGAAGUGUUUGUAGCUUCAUAAUUCCAGUAUUUGAAGUCAUAAUUAUGCUGUUUGCUGUUGUUCUGCCUUUCAUUCAUGGCGUCUUGUUUCCUGGUGUGUUUACUAAUAUUAUAUUAACAGCUAGAGAGCCUUCACCUAGAAUUUCCUUGUGUCAAUUUUGCCAACAGGCAUUUUUUUUAAAAAACCUAUCUCUUCACAGAGGGUAUGGGCCUUUAAGAGGUCUAGCUUUAUGUAAGUAUCUUUAGGCCCAAAGUGAGAAUUGAGAUACCUGCAUAAAGCUGGGGCUCUUCCAUACACUCUGUGGAUCCAAGAACUCGGGCCCAAGACCUUAUUUUCUUUCCUCCCUUGCAGCUGAGGCUCUAGAUAUCUGGCAUCUAUUCUGUGCAAGCUCAUGACCUUGUUAAUCUUCACCAUAAUAAUGCUGCAAACAAACCACUUCUAGAUUCAGUGUCAUAAUAACAAGCAUUUUUGUUUUUUACACAUCUAGGUUCAGCUGAUCUAGGCUAGGUUCAUCUGGUCUUGGCUCCAAGCUGUUGGUAGGAUCUAGGUUGACCACAUGUGUUUCUCAUCUUCCAUGGACCAGCAGCUACCCGAGGCAUGUUCUCCCUAUGAUGAAAAGCAGGAGUGCUAGGCAAGCCUUAUAUAAGAGCGCACUUUAACGCUAUGUUUACGCCAUAUCUGCUAACAUCUGUUGGCCAAAGGAAGUCAGGUGGCCACACCCAGAGUCGAGAAGCAGAGGAGAAAUAAGCUGCUCCCAUGGGGGUGCAGAGAAGGAAGGAGAUAUUUACUAAAUAGUAAUGUGAUCUACACGUUUAUUAUCUUCCUCAUUACUUCCCACUUGAGUUCUAUAUCCUUUUUCGUGUUUAUUUCCCGGGUUUCCCUUUCUUUCCUCUGCCUUAAACUAGAUCUUUUAAAAGUAUGUUUUGGUAUUUGUGGCAUAAGAGUUUUUUGAAGAAAUCUGUCCACUACACUGCUAGAAGUAUGUAUUGUACGUAGGGAUUAUGUAACAAAGCCAGGUUUCCAACACGGGUCUAUAGACUUUGACUUCCAUCUUUUUUCCCCCCUCAUUCAACAUACUUUUUAUAGGCUUGGGAAAUGAUGCCUCCCAAGUUCAAGUGAUUGUCCUGCCUCAGCCUCCCGGGUAGCUGAGAUGACAGGUGCAUGCCACCACACCCAGGUAAUUUUUUUGUAUUUUUAGUAGAGAAGGGUUUUCACCAUGUUGAUCAGGCUGGCCUCAAACUCUGGAGUUCUAAUGAUCCACCAGCCUUAGCCUCCCAAGGUGCUGGGAUUAUUGGCAUGAGUCACCACACCUGGCUGUGACUUCCUCUUUUUUGACCACAUUAUAGCUUCCAUUUAAGUAAAUGCCCUCCUGGUAGAGUGUUUUUCAAACUGUUAGCAACAACCACAGUAAAAGCAUACAUUUUUCUCUCAUAGCUCACUAUGUUUUUCACAAAAUACUAAUGCUCACUAAGUGGAGUACACUCUAUUAAAGCAAAGCCUGACAUUUUUUUUUUGAGACAGAGUCUUGCUCUGUUGCCCAGGCUAGAGUGCAGUGGCAUGACCUCUGCUCACUGCAGCCUCUGCCUCCCCGGUUCAAGUGACAUUAGCAACUCUUAUGCCUCAGUCUCCCAAGAAGCUGGGAUUACAGGCAUGAGCCACUGCGCCUGGCUAACUUUUGUAUUUUUAGUAGAGAUGGAGUUUCACUAUGUUGACCAGGUUGGUCUCAAGCUCCCGGCCUCAAACAAUCUGCCUGCCUCACCCUCCCAAGGUGCUGAGAUUACAAGUGUGAGCCACUGCACCUGGCCAAAGUCUGAAAUUCUUGACAGGUUUUAUACACACACAUAUAUACAUGUAUUGACUGGCAUGCUUUAAAUUCAUACAUGCUUUUGGGAAAUCAUCAUUUCCCAAGCCUAUAAAAAGUAUGUUGAAUGAGGGAAAAAAAGAUGGAAGUAAUGAUCUACACAGAUACAAAGCAUGCUUUAAUUACUCCCGUAUCCCCAGUGCUAUUUGGUGAUAAAGGCUUUCUGCCCAUGGAUGCCACCGAAGAAGCAUCAUUAAAGUCUGUCUUCUCCCUGCUGUCAUGUCUAAGUCAGAGUCUCCUAAAGAGCUCGAAGAGCUGAGAAAGCUCUUCAUUGGAGAGCUGAGCUUUGAAACAACCCAUGAGAGCCUGAGGAGCCAUUCUGAGCAAUGGGGAACGCUCACGGACUGUGUGGUCGUGAGAGAUCCAAAUGCCAAGCACUCCAGGGGCUUUGGGUUUGUCAUAUAUGCCACUGUGGAGGUGGUGGAUGCAGCCAUGAAUGCAAGGCCACACAUGGUAGAUGGAAGAGUUGUGGAACCAAAGAGAGCUAUCUCGAGAAGAUUCUCAAACACCAGGUGUCCACUUAACUGUGAAAAAGAUAUUUGUUGGUGGCAUUAAAGAAGACACUGCAGAGCAUCGCCUAAGAGAUUAUUUUGAACAGUAUGGAAAAAUUGAAGUGAUUGAAAUCAUGACUGACCGAGGCAGUGGCAAGAAAAGGGGCUUUGCCUUUGUAACCUUGGAUGACCAUGACUCUGUGAAUAAGACUGUCAUUCAGAAAUACCAUACUGUGAAUGGCCACAGCUGUGAAGUUAGGAAAGCCCUGUCAAAGCAAGAGAUGGCGAGUGCUUCAUCCAACCAAAGAGGUUGAAAUGGUUCUGGAAACUUUGGUGGUAGUCGUGGAAGUAGUUUUGUUGGGAAUGACAACUUGGUCAUGGAGGAAACUUCAGUGGUCCUGGUGGCUUUGGUGGCAGCCGUGGUGGUGGUGGAUAUGGUGGCAGUGGGCAUGGCUAUAAUGGAUUUGGUAAUGAUGAUGGUUAUGGAGGAGGCAGCCCUGGUUACUCUGGAGGCAGCAGAGGCUAUGGAAGUGGUGGACAGGGUUAUAGAAACCAAUGCAGUUGCCAUGGUGGGAGUGGCAGCUAUGACAGCUAUCACAAUGGAGGCAGAGCUAGCUUUGGCAGUGGUAGUGAAAGCAAUUUUGGAGGUGGUAGAAGCUACAAUGACUUUGGCAAUUGCAACAAUUAGUGUUCAAAUUCUGGACCCAUGAAGGGGGGAAUCUUUGGAGGCAGAAGCUCUGGCUCCUAUGGUGGUGGAGGCCAGUACUUUGCCAGACCACAAAACCAAGAUGGCUAUGGCAGUUCCAGUAGCAGCAGUAGCUAUGGCAGUGGCAGAAGAUUUUAAUUAGGAAGCAAAGCUUAGCAGGAGAGGAGAGCCAGAGAAGUGACAGGGAAGUUACAGGUUACAACAGAUUUGUGAACUCAGCCAAGCACAGUGGAGGCAGGGUGGAGCUGCUAUAAAGAAGACAGGAUUUAGACAAAUACUCAUGUAUAUGGGCAAAAAACUUGAGGACAAUAUUUGUGACUAAUUGUAUAACAGGUUAUUUUAGUUUCUUUUCUUUGGAAAGUGUAAAGCAUUCCAACAAAGAGUUUUAAUGUAGAUUUUUUUUCUUUUUUUUUUUUUGCAUCAUGUCAUUUGCUAAAUGUUUUAGUCUGAUCCUGACAAUUUCUUGGGGUUAGAAAGUACUGUAUUUUGAGAAAUACUUUAGAGAAACAGACAAUAAUUCUAGAAUUAUAGUAAAGAAGGACUGGAAGACUUCAGGAGACGCUUCAGCUUCUAGAUUGUGAAUGUUGAAUAAGUCACGAAGUGUGAUACCUAUAUUAUCCUUUUCUUUGCAAAAAAUUGAAUAGUAGCACAUUUCUUUAUCCUGAAUAGCAGACAUUCAUUUUUUAAAUUAGCUGUUUCUCAUCCAAGGCGUUAGGAAGAUCUCUCUCUCUCUCUCCUUUCCAAGUACUAGCCCUGGAAUUCCUUGUAACUGUGGUUUAUCUAGAUUAGGUAGCUCAUUUCUGGAGGCCUCUAUCUUUUCACGAUCUGCAGCAUCUGAUAUGUAAACAGUAGCAUUGACUCCUCUGCAACACAGUUUCUACAUGCUCCGAAACUGGGGUUGUCCUCCUAUGUCCCAGAGCUUUUCUGUCAUGUUACCUUUAGUUACUUUCUUCAUGUCGAAGAUCAGUGUGGAUAUCAUGUUUUCACUAAAUUGACCUGAUGCAGUGAUAUAUACAAAAGUGGUCUUGCCCAAGUCCUGCAGCCCCACAAGUGUCAAUUCUGUCUCUUGCUUCCAAAAGAGCAGACAGAACCAGUACAGCAGGCAGGAGAUGAGUGCCAGCAUGAUGGUCACUGGGAGAAAGGAUAGAUGGGAGGAUGGAUGGGAGGACAGGCAAGCAGAGGCAAAGAUGACUUCCACAUGAGCCAGCCUUGGCCUGGACCCCCCAACAGCUCUUUGGGACCCCAGUGCAGCACAGGUGGACAUAGGCAGGUGGCAGCAGCCCUGUUUGUUUCUAUUUCAUUUUUUAAAUGCUGGUCAUGACACUAAACUGAUUUUACAACUUACCAAUAAAUUGGAAUCUUGGGUGUGAAAUACACUGACCUAGUGAAUUCCUUUCAUCAUUUUCCUUUCCUUGUUAUUAAUCUUAUCUCUUUGCAAGGGAAAAUAAACUCCUUGAAGUGUUUUUUUGUUUUGUUUUGUUUUGUUUUGUUUUGAGUUGGAGUCUCUCACUGUUGCCCAGGCUGGAGUGCAUUGGCACAAUCUCAGCUCACUGCAACCUCCGCCUCCCAGGUUUAAGUGAUUCUCCUGCCUCAGCCUCCUGAGUAGCUGGGAUUACAGGCACCUGCCACCACACCCAGCUAAUUUUUUUGUUUUUUGUUUUUUUACUAAAGAUGGGGUUUCACCAUGCUGGCUGUCUAGUCUCGAACUCCUGACUUUAUGAUUCACCAGCCUCGGCUUCCCAAAGUGCUGGGAUAACAGGCAUGAGCAACUACCCCCGGACUGAACUGUUUUUUCAUCCAGCUCAUUAUGAACUUCUCUGUAGUCUGUGAUCUUAGGUCAGCCAUUGGUACUACCUAGUUCCUUCCUAUAAACCAAACAUGUGUUUGGUAUCUCUGGCACAUACAACACAGAGUUGGGUGCCAGCAAACAUGCAGGUAGGUUAGUGUCCGGUUCUUAAAUAAAUGACAUCAUGAGGCUUCAGCCUAGACAAGUACUUGGUCAAAGGGUGACCCAGCUGUGAAGUGCACUAAGCUCCUUGGAGGCCAUGAGAUGGUCAGUGAAGGCUGCAUAGAGGACAGAUCUGAGCAGGGAAAGAGAGCAAGCAGGGUAGGAUGUCAGGAGAUGUUUGCAGCUUCAGUAGAAGUAGCGAGCCACUGAUAGUUUUGAGCCAGAUAGUUAUGAAACCAGAUGAAGGUUUUGGGAAAGAUAGUUUAGCAAGUCCAUUCGGCAUUCAUUCAACACACCUGCACGAAGCACCUUCUGUAUUUUGGGCACUGUUUAGGCAUUCUAGGUGCAUCAGUGAAUAGAACAGACAAUACCUCUGCCUCAUGGCAUUUAUACUCCAGCUGCAGGGUUGGGGGUUGAGGAAGUCAAGCUUGUAAUACUUACAAGCCAUAUAGUGUGUGGAAGGUGAGAAUGCAAAGGAGAUGGGUAAAGGAAAUUGGGAGUGUCGUGCAUGGGGAUGCAUCAGACAGGGUACCUGGAGUCUGGGAGACCAGUCGGGAUAGCAGGGUGUGGGAUGAGGCCUGAGCUCUAGCAGUGGUGGUGGGAAGGGUAGACGGGCAGAAAGGCAGGGCUCAGCCUCAUGCUCCUCUGUUCUCAUCUCC